rnacentral:rRNA from 1 species
GACGAACGCUGGCGGCGUGCUUAACACAUGCAAGUCGAACGGAAAGGCCCUGCUUUUGUGGGGUGCUCGAGUGGCGAACAGGUGAGUAUAACAUGAGUAACCUGCCCUUGAAUUUGUGAUAACUUCAGGAAACUGGGGCUCAUACCGGAUAGGAGCUCCUGCUGCAUGGUGUUGGUUGGAAAGUUUCGGCGGUUGGGGAUGGACUCGCGGCUUAUCAGCUUGUUGGUGGGGUAGUGGCUUACCAAGGCUUUGACGGGUAGCCGGCCUGAGAGGGUGACCGGCCACAUUGGGACUGAGAUACGGCCCAGACGCCUACGGGAGGCAGCAGUGGGGAAUAUUGCACAAUGGGCGGAAGCCUGAUGCAGCAACGCCGCGUGCGGGAUGACGGCCUUCGGGUUGUAAACCGCUGUCGCCUGUGACGAAGCGUGAGUGACGGUAAUGGGUAAAGAAGCACCGGCUAACUACGUG